rnacentral:lncRNA from 1 species
AUGAUGAAGAUUACCUAUGACAACUAUCCUGUAGAGACACCAGAGAAUGCUGUAGAAAAUCAAAAUGUCAUCAGUGGGAACAGAUCAAGAAAGAACCCCCAAGAGAUCUCAGAAGUGGCAUUAUUGCCGAUGCCGAAUAAGGGCAAAGCAGAAGAAGAAACCCGCAAUGAUCCAAGAGCAAACGCUCCAUCUGAUUCAGAAGAGUCCACUUACUAUUCAGGUCCCGAGUCACCAGGGGAAGAUGAUGCCAUUGGUGAAAAUAGAUCAAGAAAGAACCCCCAAGAGAUCUCAAAAGUGGAAUUAUUGCCGAUGCCGAAUAAGGGCAAAGCAGAAGAAGAAACCCGCAAUGAUCCAAGAGCAAACACUCCAUCUGAUUCAGAAGAGUCCACUUACUAUUCAGGUCCCGAGUCACCAGGGGAAGAUGAUGCCAUUGGUGAAAAUAGAUCAAGAAAGAACCCCCAAGAGAUCUCAGAAGUGGCAUUAUUGCCGAUGCCGAAUAAGGGCAAAGCAGAAGAAGAAACCCGCAAUGAUCCAAGAGCAAACAUUCCAUCUGAUUCAGAAGAGUCCACUUACUAUUCAGGUCCCGAGUCACCAGGGGAAGAUGAUGCCAUUGGUGAAAAUAGAUCAAGAAAGAACCCCCAAGAGAUCUCAAAAGUGGAAUUAUUGCCGAUGACAAAUAAGGGCAAAGCAGAAGAAGAAACCCGCAAUGAUCCAAGAGCAAACGUUCCAUCUGAUUCAGAAGAGUCCACUUACUAUUCAUGUCCCGAGUCACCAGGGGAAGAUGAUACCAUUGGUGAAAAUAGAUCUGGAGAGAUUCCAGAAGUGGAAUUCUCGCCGAUAUUGCAUGAGGGCAAAGAAGAAAAGAAAAGUGGUGAUGAUUUAAGAUCAGAUGCCCCACCCACUUUAGACGAGACUCUUUAUCUUUUGCACCCUGACAAAAGUGUUUCAAGAGCAGCGUCACCAUCAGCAUCUCACCAGUCCCAUUAUGAUCUUCCAACCAACCAGCAAAACCAGAUUUUUUUUCAAAUCCUGAAGGAUUUACUUAAAAACUCAUUAGGGCAGUGGUCUGCGGUUGGGAAAAGGUUGUGGACCCCUGCAUUAGUGUAUGGCAACACAGGUGUACGUCACAGUGGUGAACAUAUCCUGGAGCUCAUAUACAUGAACAAGAAGUGUGAAUUAAGGAUCCUGAAUUCUGAUAGAAUUUGCCAAUGGAAGCAAACAUUGAAGACAGGUGAUAUUUACCUUAAAUUGCGUGGCAAUCAUGUGGAACAUCUCAACCUAGAGACUAUCCAGAAUGUUCAGAAUGAGCUGGAAUCCCUGGGCAUUCAGGAUAAUAGAAUACAGAGUUGCUUCUCCCUGGCUAAAACUAAGUUCAUGGAAGAGCUCUCAUAUGUUCAGAGUAACAUGAAACUGGACAUAAUUUGUGACAUGGUUAUAAUAGCUUUUAGUGAAGGUGAAGGUGAGAAUGCGGCCAAAGUUUUGUAUGAUGAUGUCCUAAGUAGCCCCAAGUACUUCAUGAAAGUGAAGGAUGUGUGGGUAAUGAUUUUGAGAUACUUAUUUUUUCAUCUUUCAGAGAUUGAGCAUUUCCUAACUCCGCAUGUUAAAACGCUGUUUGAGAAGUUAUUUGACAAAUUAAUGAGGGUUGUGGGCUUAUCAGUCUCUUUGGCCUGA